UACGGAGGAUCCAAGCGUUAUCCGGAUUCAUUGGGCUUAAAGGGUGCGUAGGCGGCAUGUUAAGUCAGUGGUGAAAUCCUGCAGCUUAACUGCAGAACUGCCAUUGAUACUGUCAAUCUUGAGUACAUUUGAUGAGGGCGGAAUGUGUCAUGUAGCGGUGAAAUGCUUAGAUAUGACACAGAACACCGAUUGCGAAGGCAGCUCUCAAAGCUGUAACUGACGCUGAGGCACGAAAGCGUGGGUAGCAAACAGG
rnacentral:rRNA from 1 species